rnacentral:rRNA from 1 species
GAUGAACGCUGGCGGCGUGCUUAACACAUGCAAGUCGAACGGUGAACGAGGGAGCUUGCUCCCUCCGGAUCAGUGGCGAACGGGUGAGUAACACGUGAGCAAUCUGCCCUGGACUCUGGGAUAAGCGUUGGAAACGACGUCUAAUACCGGAUACGAGACGCGAAGGCAUCUUCAGCGUCUGGAAAGAACUUCGGUCCAGGAUGAGCUCGCGGCCUAUCAGGUAGUUGGUGAGGUAAUGGCUCACCAAGCCUACGACGGGUAGCCGGCCUGAGAGGGUGACCGGCCACACUGGGACUGAGACACGGCCCAGACUCCUACGGGAGGCAGCAGUGGGGAGUAUUGGGCAAUGGGCGCAAGCCUGACCCAGCAACGCCGCGUGAGGGAUGAAGGUCCUCGGAUUGUAAACCUCUUUCAGCAGGGACGAAGCGCAAGUGACGGUACCUGCAGAAGAAGCACCGGCUAACUACGUGCCAGCCGCCGCUGUAACAC